AAGUCGUAACAAGGUCUCCGUUGGUGAACCAGCGGAGGGAUCAUUACCGAGUUUACAACUCCCAAACCCAAUGUGAACGUUACCAAACUGUUGCCUCGGCGGGAUCUCUGCCCCGGGUGCGUCGCAGCCCCGGACCAAGGCGCCCGCCGGAGGACCAACCAAAACUCUUAUUGUAUACCCCCUCGCGGGGCUGGCAACCCGUCAGAAGCCCGAAACUCUAGCAUAUUGGCCUCUCUGAGUAACUUAUACAAUAAGUCAAAACUUUCAACAACGGAUCUCUUGGCUCUC
rnacentral:misc_RNA from 1 species